AUGCUGGAGGCGGCGGCGAUCCCUGAGCUGUGGAGCACCGUGCACGGGUGGUUCACCCCAUGGGUGCUGUUCCUCGUGCUCAACCUCGUCGUCUUCACCAUCGUCGUCACCUCCAUGGCCACGGCCCCGGCGAAGGGCGGAGAAGGGGCUGCGCCCGGUGCUGACUGCGAGAGGAGGAACCUGGCCGGCCGGCCGUCAAUGGAGCUCGACCGGCACCGGUCGCCCAACCUGCCUCGCUUCACCGCCCCCGCACCUGAGGCCCCGGCGACCGGAGUACUGGAUCUGGGGCAGCCCGACAAUCAGCCGCCGCCGCUCGAGAUGGAGCCGGAGAAUCCGGGUGAGCGCGAGCACGCGCACAUGGAGAGGAGCAUGUCUGAGGCGGCAGUGGAGGCCGAGCUGCCGCGGCGGCCGGCGAGGCUGCGCAAGUCGGCGUUCGCGCACGUCGUGGCCAAGAAGGACACCGAGGUGGUGGAGGUGCGCAGGCUGGCGACGACGACGGACGCGGAGCGCCGCCGCCCCCUGGUGGUCAAAGUGGAGGAACCGGCGUCGGAGGAGGAGAUCCAGGAGGCCGGCAGCGAGGUGGACGCGCGCGCGGACGAGUUCAUCAACAAGUUCCACCACCAGCUGAAGCAGCAGCGCAUCGACUCCUUCAGGCGCUCCCGGAAUACGCUCCACCGCCGCCGGACGGCCGUGGUGCCAGAGGCGCGCUAG
rnacentral:rRNA from 1 species